AUGAACGCUGGCGGCGUGCCUAAUACAUGCCAGUCGCGCGAACAGACGAGGAGCUUGCUCCUUUGACGUUAGCGGCGGACGGGUGAGUAACACGUGGGUAACCUACCUAUAAGACUGGGAUAACUUCGGGAAACCGGAGCUAAUACCGGAUAAUAUUUCGAACCGCAUGGUUCGAUAGUGAAAGAUGGCUUUGCUAUCACUUAUAGAUGGACCUGCGCCGUAUUAGCUAGUUGGUAAGGUAACGGCUUACCAAGGCAACGAUACGUAGCCGACCUGAGAGGGUGAUCGGCCACACUGGAACUGAGACACGGUCCAGACUCCUACGGGAGGCAGCAGUAGGGAAUCUUCCGCAAUGGGCGAAAGCCUGACGGAGCAACGCCGCGUGAGUGAUGAAGGUCUUCGGAUCGUAAAACUCUGUUAUUAGGGAAGAACAAACGUGUAAGUAACUGUGCACGUCUUGACGGUACCUAAUCAGAAAGCCACGGCUAACUACGUG
rnacentral:rRNA from 1 species